rnacentral:rRNA from 1 species
UACGAAGGGGGCUAGCGUUGUUCGGAAUCACUGGGCGUAAAGGGUGCGUAGGCGGCUUGGUGGGUCUGGUGUGAAAGCCCCGGGCUCAGCCCGGGAAGGGCACUAGAAACUGCCGAGCUGGAGUGCCGGAGGGGAGAGUGGAAUUCCUGGUGUAGCGGUGAAAUGCGUAGAUAUCAGGAGGAAUACCGGUGGCGAAAGCGACUCUCUGGACGGCAACUGACGCUGAGGCACGAAAGCGUGGGGAGCAAACAGG